rnacentral:rRNA from 1 species
UGGGGAAUCUUGCACAAUGGGGGCAACCCUGAUGCAGCGACGCCGCGUGAGCGAUGAAGCCCUUCGGGGCGUAAAGCUCUUUCGACCGGAACGAUAAUGACGGUACCGGGAGAAGAAGCUGCGGCUAACUACGUGCCAGCAGCCGCGGUAAUACGUAGGCAGCAAGCGUUGUUCGGAGUUACUGGGCGUAAAGAGUGCGUAGGCGGUUUUCUAAGUUCGGUGUGAAAUCUCCCGGCUUAACUGGGAGGGUGCACUGAAAACUGGGGCCCUCGAGUAUGGGAGAGGAAAGCGGAAUUCCAGGUGUAGCGGUGAAAUGCGUAGAGAUCAGGAGGAACACCUGCGGUGCAGACGGCUUUCUGGACCAUCACUGACGCUGAGGCACGAAAGCGUGGGUAGCAAACA